AUGCGACUAUCUUGGCUUCUAGAAGUCUAUGUCAGCCUUAUAUUGAGUCAGUCCCCUCAUUCCUCUGUAAAGCCUGGGACAGACACCAGGUCAGACAGGCACUGGGUCAGCGUCCUUGAAACUCAACACACCUUUAAGCUCUGCUCUCUAGAACCCCUGUGGCAUAAAGGAGUCACUCAGCCAGCUCGGAAUGAACCCAGUUGUGUGAAGAAGCUCUUAAGUGUGAACUGGGAGUACUAUCAAUAUGCAGCUAUUCCUACCAACUAUCCCACCCUGGUGGGGUGCUGUGAGCGAGUCCGUGGGUACUUUUCUCAGAGGUAAAUUGCUCCCCCAGGAAAAUGUGGGUGUCGUGGUGAGUAAACAGUAAAGAGAGUAUGGAGGGGACAGGCCAGAGUCUGAGGGAGCUCCACCACUGUGUCCUGCCCUGUGUGAGGUUAGCCAUUGCUUUUGUACCUUCCAGAGCUAUUGAACCAGAGGCAGAGAUUGCUGAGGGAGGCCAGAGCAAGGUUACCCCGGCUCUAGGAGUUACCUUCUGAAGAAAAGGGUUGGGGGAAUGGGAGACUCUUCCCUAAAGCCCUGGGCUUGGCUGCCAGUCACUGCCGUCUGGUCACUUUUCUACGCCUAUAGUGAGUCCCUCCAGCUGACCCUGGCAAGCAGCGUAUGAUCAAGUGCCAGAUCCACAAGACAACAGUCCAAGUGCUGGACAUGGAGAUGAUCUGAGCUGGCGGUUCUGAUCCUUUUACUAGCCCUGGCAGACAAGUCACCACGUCCCUCUCCCUUUUCUCCGUUUUGUAACCUGUACAAUGGGCACAAUAUAGUGUGACUCAUGACAAAACCAGGGUAGGUGUUCUGUGUCCCAAGAUCUUAGCAGUAUGUGUUCCUGGAGUCCCUCCCUAGUAUUUGCGGAAUUUCAACCCCACAGUGUGGUCAUCCUGUCACCUGCUGUGACUGAUGUGACUCUGGUGUUGAGAAGACCAAAGGUCUAUUAGUCUUCUUUCUUUGGAGGCUGGCACAUCUGUUCCCAUGCAAUCAGGGCAUUUAGUACUGUGAAGGCCUUGGGCUGAGUAACCCCACUCUCCCUUGUUCAUGUGGCCUUUGGGAGGUGAGCUUGGUGAAUGUUUCCAAAAGGGCGGUGGACACAGGGAGGCCAAAAGCCCAUCAGAGACCCUCUCUCAUCCCAGGCCUAUCUUCUGUGAGAAACCCUUUCUUUUUUGGAGACAGAGUCUCAUUAUGUAGCCUUGGCUGAUCUGGAACUCACUAUAUAGAUCAGCCUGCCUCCACCUCCCCAGUACUUGGAUUAAAGUUUUGGGUGGAAAUUUUU
rnacentral:lncRNA from 1 species